CAGGGCGUAGCUACAACACAAAGCAUCCAGCUUACACCUGGAAGAUAUCUGCCACUGACCAGAUCGCCCUGA
rnacentral:tRNA from 1 species